rnacentral:rRNA from 1 species
GGGGAGUGAUGAUGUAUUGUGGUUGUUGCUUUACGCGGCUAUCACAUUACAAUCAUCCAAUAACCCACAACAUUGACUCGGGCGCUACUCUGACCUCUCUCUCUCUCUUUUCCUUAAACGGGGAAAGUGUGUGGGGGGGGGCUAGUGGAGAUUGCCCUGAGACAUACACGCUUGUUUUGUUUGACUGAGUUAUGUGAAAAUUAAAUUAUGACAACUUUUAACAAUGGAUCUCUUGGCUCUUGCAACGAUGAAGAACGCAGUAAAGUGCGAUAUCUAAUGUGAUUUGCAUGAAUCUGUGAGUCAUCUAGUCUUUGAACGCAACUUGCACCUCUCGAGAAAUCGAGCGGUAUGUCUGUUUGAGAACCACAAACCUCUUUGCUUACCUUUACGGUAGCAGAUAUGAGACACUGUGAGUGUCUUGAAAUAAAGCAUGCAAGGCUUGUGAGCGUGUGCCAUGUGCUAGAGGAUCGCAAGGAUCUUGGUCAUGGGGGUGGUACGGGGGAGGCAGGCCGGAAUCUUACGGCUUUUGAAUUGGAGGGGUCUCAAAUCAGGGGCAAGGGAUUACCCCGCUGAACUUAA